AAUUACCAAAUUGAACUUUGUAUCAUAUUUCAUUUAUGCAUACUGUCAGUCAUUCCAACAAGUUGACUUAGCGCUCAGUCAAUUUUGAUCCAUUAAUCCUCAUGCAGCCAAAAGCCUAAAACUGAUGUUUCACAUAUAGUGGAAUAGAAAUGUGCAGAGAUAAGGAUCUUUUCUGAAUCUCGCAAUUUUGGUGGCGUACCCUGCAACAGCAU